UUUGUACUCCCUCCGUCCAGAAAUAUUUGUCCGCAGAAUGGGUGUAUCUAGAUGUAUUUUAGUUCUAGAUACAUCCAUUUGUAUCCAUUUUUACGACAAGUAUUUUCGGACGGAGGGAGUAUUCA
rfam:Triticum aestivum genome assembly, contig: Triticum_aestivum_CS42_TGACv1_scaffold_033763_1BL